rnacentral:rRNA from 1 species
CGGAUCAGCAUGCCGCGGUGAAUACGUUCCCGGGCCUUGUACACACCGCCCGUCACACCAUGAGAGUUUGUAACACCCAAAGCCGGUGGGGUAACCUUUUGGAGCCAGCCGUCUAAGGUGGGACAGAUGAUUGGGGUGAAGUCGUAACAAGGUAAC